AAAUCUAAAUAUUAACAAUACUGGUGAAGAUCAACAUAAAAAGUAAAACAUACCUUUUGCAUAAUGGUGAUACUAAAUUUAUUCUAAGAUUUUAUAUUUCCCGAAAAUAAAAGAUCUAACUUUUCAUGCGAAAUUAUUAGAACACAAAAUCUAUUGUGGCAUAAAUAGACCUCAAUGAAAAGUUAGUAGUGAAACACUUUCACUUUUAUUGAUAUCUGGAUAUAGAAUAAAUAUAUUUAGUAUAUAAAUACAUUCUUAAAGCGAUAAGGUUUUAAGCGAAGAAUUUUAUAUAACAGUAAAAAUUUCUAAUUAAUAAUAUUAACUGGUAGUUUUAUUGAUAUACAUAUAUUUAUAUAUUAAAUUCCUUGAAAUUCUAUUUAUAUAUUACAACCGGUCAGUAUACUAAUAAUGUAUCAAUUAGUAAAUAGGUAUAAUAAAUAUUAGUAAGGAACUCGACAAAUAAUUGCUUACGACUGUUUAUCAAAAACAUAGCCAAAAGUAGAUAUUUUUGGUGUUAUCUGCCCAGUGAAAAAUUUUAACGGCCGCAGUACCUUGACUGUGCAAAGGUAGCAUAAUAAUUUGACUUUUAAAUGGAGCCUAGAAUGAAAGAAAGAACGUAUGCAACUUGUCUCAUUGAUAUUACUUUAAAUUUAAUGGUUGAGUGAAAAUACUCAUAAUUUUAAUAAUAGACGAGAAGACCCUUAGAAUUUUUAAAAGCAAUAAGUAAUUCUUAUUAGAUUUUUUGUUGGGGCAACAAUAUUUCAAAUAAUAAAUAUAUUAAUGAAAGUAAUAAGUCGAUUAAAUAAUUAUAGAAAAAUUACCUAAGGGAUAACAGCAUAAUUUUAUUAAUAAGCUUGUGACCUCGAUGUUGGACUAGGUACUAUUAAGGCUAAUCGUUUUAAUAUAAUAUGUUCUGUUCGAACUUUGUUACCUACAUGAUCUGAGUUCAGACCGGCGUAAGCCAGGUCAGUUUCUAUCUUUUAUCUGGCCUAUAAUAGUACGAAAGGACCUUAUAGGCACUUAUUCAUAAGUAUA
rnacentral:rRNA from 11 species